CGAGAUGAAGCUGCUAUGCCUUAUACGCACAAGGUUCCUUUUCAGAUGUUUACAAGAUGAUUAGUCACUGCUUUUGGAUGCAUAGAGGCAUAGUGGGGGUUCAAUUCCUUUAGCAAUCUCUGGUUCGGUUUUGAGUCAUUGCCAAUGUGACCUUCUAAGCCAUCAGAAUGGCAAGUGCAGUGACCUUAAGACUGUGAGAAGCUUAUGGAUUUAUGCCAUUGCAGUAGGUAGUAGUGCAACGAGGCAAAAAGACCACUCUAUGUGCAGUGGUGGGGGUGUCAUACAUACUGAAGGUCUGUGUGCAACUGUAUUUAUAGGAAGGCAGUGUGUGUGGGUGUGUGUGUGUGUGUGUGUGUGUGUGUGUGUGUGUGUGUGUGUGUGUGUGUGUUUUAGGAUUGUAACAACACUGUGGGCUCAUAGAGUCGUUCUGGUUAUUGGUGCCUCUUCUCUCUCGGGCCGUGCUUACUACUCGUUC